UACAGAGGGGGCAAGCGUUGUCCGGAUUUACUGGGCAUACAGCGCGCGCAGGCGGCCUCGUAUGUGACCGGUGACAUCCUCGGGCUCAACCCGAGGCGGCCCGGUUAGACAGCGGAGCUGGAGGCAGGGAGAGGGAUGUGGAAUACCCGGUGGAGCGGUGAAAUGCGUAGAGAUCGGGUGGAACACCAGCGGCGAAGGCGGCAUCCUGGCCCUGACCUGACGCUGAGGCGCGAUAGCGUGGGGAGCAAACGGG
rnacentral:rRNA from 1 species